UUUAGCAAACUCUUUGAGUCUGUAAAUACAAAGCGUUUACUGAAACUUAUGAAAUAAACAUCAGGUUUUUUUCUCACCUAAAUAGGUAAAACACCAUAUAAUUACUUUACCUCCGAUAAAUUUCACAUUUUUUCUUCUUGUGUAUCCUGAUUUCAAGAUCCUUUGCUUUGAUUUCUUUAACAAUGUUGGUAUAUUUUUGCUGAAAUGUAAAAAAAUAUAUAUGUCAAAUAAAUAACAACAUAUGAACACUCCCAGCUUUAUUCCUUAUCAUUCCCUUCCAUUAAAGACAAUUCUCCAGCCUAGGCAACAUAGAGAGACCUCAUCUCUACAAAAAUAAAAAAAUUAUCUGGGUAUGGUGGUGUGCACCUGUAGUCCCAGCUACUCAGGAGGCUGAGGUGGGAGGACCACUUGAACCCAAGAAUUUGAGGCUGCAGUGAGCCAUCGCAUCAUCAUCCGCUUCAGCUGGGUGAUAGAGUAAGACUCUGUCUCUCAAGUCUUUCUUGGCUUGCUGGGUUGUAUAGAUCAGGGUGAAGGUCUGAAAAUUCCCUGGCUAGCUGAACUGAUUCACAUUGGCUAAGACAAACUGUUAACUGUUACCUAAGGAAGACAACAAACAAGAGAAGGGAAAAAUCAAAAAGCCUGCAUGGGUUGGGUUUGAGGAAAAGUUUGGAGGACUCUUGAGAGAGAGGAAGAGUGAUUUUGAACUGCACAGCUGGAAUGGGUGAGCAUAGAGUUUAUGGAAGAUAGAUGAAGAAAGAGGAUUCCUAGUAAGAUUUGGUGGUAUUAUAAACUGAACUCUCUGUGGUGGUUUGUCAGAGACUGAAGAAAUGAUUUUAAAGUGCUUUGCAGUAUUUUGUAUGUGGGGUGUUUCCCUACACAAUAAAGCAUCACAUUGAGACCAGCUGUAAGGAGGUGUUACACACAAAUAUUUUAAAAGAAAGCAGUUACAUUUCUAAAAUUCUAAAAAAUAUAUCAAGUGCUAAAUACAUUAGUUAUGUUCUUUAAAUCUAAAGAUACUGGUUCUUGCAUCUGGGAUAAGAAACGUAUUCAAAAAUGAAGGACUUGCUGGUAGAAACCAGAGGAAAUAGUUUGUCAGCCUUCUCUCAAGGACUGAGAGCAAAGCCCAUUUGGUAUGAGUGAUUCGAAAGAAACUAGCUGUAGAGCCAAGAUUGAUGUGUAGCAUUUUUCUAAUGUUGUUCUCCAUGAGAAUAGGGGUCAGGAAGAAACAAGUAUUUAAAUAACUGUACACAUGAAUAAUAAAACAGAUGGGAAAAUGUAGUGUCAUCUAUUCUGUCUUGGGAGUGAUAGUGACAUUGUUUUUUUUCUUCACCUUGGUCUUUAGGGAUGUGGAUGCCAUGUGAACAUAAAGUAGUAAGACUGACUGCCUUAUGAAAAUCGCAGCUGAGUACAGGUUUUUUGUGAGCUGGCCUUGGAAUUAAACCACCACCAACACACUUUUGGAUUAUCAGAAGGUGGAAGGAGUGCAAAAUCUGUUUUUUCUUGUUUCCAACUUUGCUAUCAUCACUGGACCAAGAACGGAAAACAACUAAUAAACCCUGAAUGUGCAACAAGGACCACAGGAACCAGCCACAGG